UACGAAGGGGGCUAGCGUUGCUCGGAAUCACUGGGCGUAAAGGAUGCGUAGGCGGGUCUUUAAGUCAGGGGUGAAAUCCUGGAGCUCAACUCCAGAACUGCCUUUGAUACUGAAGAUCUUGAGUUCGGGAGAGGUGAGUGGAACUGCGAGUGUAGAGGUGAAAUUCGUAGAUAUUCGCAAGAACACCAGUGGCGAAGGCGGCUCACUGGCCCGAUACUGGCGCUGAGGCACGAAAGCGUGGGGAGCAAACAGG
rnacentral:rRNA from 1 species